rnacentral:lncRNA from 1 species
UCGUUCGUUAGAGAACCUUAAUAGGUUUGUCAAGUGGCUUAAAGAAUAAGGAUUGACAUUUUAUGCAUCUGUAUUAUUUAUGUUAGCUGAAAGAAAUCAGAUCAAAGUUGAUGCAGUAAGCUUUUCAAGCGAUUAAAAUGUCUACAAGGUGUCCAAAAAUGAAGAUAUAUAUGGCCAUGAAACUGAAACAAAAUUUAGUAAGCUUUUCAAGUGAUUGAAAUGUUUACAAGGCCACUUUCUUUGUUUUAGUCGUCUGGAUGCUUUAAGACAAAGACAGAUAAUGUAAUCUAGUAUCCUUUCUUCUUUUCAUUUGAUAUAUAUAGUCUUGUAUGACAUUGUAUUCAAGUUAAGAGUAUCUCUUAGUACUUUAAUUCUUAAAUAUGUUUUUCUUAUAAAAAAAAUCACGAAAAAUCAUUAAGAUGUAAAUACUUAUUUUUAUAUAUUUAAAGAAAUACCAUAGUCAAUAUCAAAACUGAUGCAAAACAGAUAAAAAACAUUGCUCCAAACUAGUAUAUCAUUCUUGGAUUCCAAGGCACAUCUCAAUUACACAGCCUACUCUGAGCAUUAUUUCACUUUUUUCUGCAAUUAACCUCACAGUGACUUUACAAAAUCUAGUUAACUAACAUUAGUUAAUGGAGUCCAGUGGCAUCAAUUGAUUCAUGUGGCCAAACCUACUCAACCCAGUAAGUGGGAUAUAGUAGCAGAGAUGUUCAAUUUCUAUCUACUGAACCUACUUUGCAAGUAAGUAACAGAGAGGUUUCCUUUCUAUCUCUGCCUCUCACAUACCUAACUAAUAUAUGGAAUAUGUUGUAUCAGUUAUUUCUCAAAACUUUAAAUAACCAGUGUUUGAAAUGAAUUAACUUAACUGUGCUGAAUAUGCAGAAAUAAAACUUGGGGUUUGAUUGUAAGACUUUUUUUUUUGCCAAGGGUACUGUUGCUUACUUGAGACCAUUUAUGUUGUUAAAUAGAUAACACCUCUAUGCAGCAGAAAAGAGUACAACAAAGCCAAUGGAAGAGGUUUAUAUUCAGGUCAGGUGUAGCACAGGUUAAAGUUCACAUACAGUUUCUGAUAGUACAUUGGGAACGUACCUUGGAUCUGUAAAGGCAGUUUUAAUUUUAGUUUGAAUAAGUUAAUUGAUAAGAAUAUGUUAUUCUGCCGUUAGUGAAAUAGUUAGUUUCAGAUUUUAUUGUUUAGUUAAUAGAAGCUCCCAAAAUCACAAACAUGAUUUCUAUUCAGUUGUAAUUUUUUUAUACGGCUGAAAUUACAAACACUGGAAAGAAGAAAAACAAAACACAAGCUAUCUACUCCUUAAAAAAUAACUACUCCAAAGCGCAUCAGCCAAAGAAGGCUUCAUUAAGCCUGGUGCACAGAAUGUAGUUGUCUCUGCUACAUCAGGCAAAGAACAUAUGAAGAUGGAGGUGUAACUUCAACUAGCUAUUUUCUCAUUACCCUCUUACACAUUAGAAAUUUGUGCAUAUAAAUUUUUGUUCAAAUUAAUGGUAAAUUGGUUACUAGGGUCAUGAUGACAAAAUAAUUGAACAUCUAUAGUUAUUAUAAAAUGCUAAUAUUGUACUGUGACAUGCGACUCUUUUACAAGGGAUGCUAUCAGAAACCUCAAAUAAAGCAUAGACAUACGACUCUUUUUGCAUGACUUAUUACUUGGCAUUAACCGUUUCACACUGUUUUGCUCAUGCUUUCAAUAAUGAAACUCAUGUCAUUACAAACUCACAUGUUGAAUUAUUCAUUCAUAUCUUAUAAAUCUGAAUUUUUCUUUGUAUAGUUUUGAACUCAGUUGGACAAAGCAACCUUGCUGGGUGACAUGAUUAUACAUUUGAAAGAGCUGAAAACAAAUGCAGCACAAGCUAGUGAAGGCCUAAUGAUACCAAAGAACAAUGAUAAAAUAAGAGUCGAAGAAGGAGGAUUUCUACAUUCAGUUCUUUAUCUAUAAGAGAUUUCUUAUAAGAACUUUUCUUUUUAAAUGUGUAAUUUAAAUCUCCAUAUGCAUAGCAUAUAUCUAAAUAUGAUGAGGGAGUGAGUGAGAUUAGCAAAUAGCAAUUUCACUUGUUAGAGAAGCUGUACAUUCUGAAAAUCAUGUGAAUCUGGUUGUACAUGUAUCAGAAGCAUAAUAGCAACUUUACUCAGGUUAUGCGCACUUGCUGUUGUUGAGUCAUUCAGCAUUGCUACUCAGGAUUACU